AGCGAACGCUGGCGGCAGGCUUAACACAUGCAAGUCGAGCGGGCAUUCUUGUGGUGUCAGCGGCAGACGGGUGAGUAACGCGUGGGAACGUGCCCUUCGGUUCGGAAUAACUCAGGGAAACUUGAGCUAAUACCGGAUACGUGCGAGAGCAGAAAGGUUUAUCUGCCGAAGGAUCGGCCCGCGUCUGAUUAGCUAGUUGGUGAGGUUAUGGCUCACCAAGGCGACGAUCAGUAGCUGGUCUGAGAGGAUGAUCAGCCACACUGGGACUGAGACACGGCCCAGACUCCUACGGGAGGCAGCAGUGGGGAAUAUUGGACAAUGGGGGCAACCCUGAUCCAGCCAUGCCGCGUGAGUGAUGACGGCCUUAGGGUUGUAAAGCUCUUUUCUCCGGGACGAUAAUGACGGUACCGGAGGAAUAAGCCCCGGCUAACUUCGUG
rnacentral:rRNA from 1 species